AGGACCACAUCCAAAGUGUUCCUAAAUAAAACAAGAACAUGUAUAAACAAUCCAAUAACAUGGAGGCAAAACAAGAGAUGAGUUAUUGUUUGAAACGCAAGCAAUUGAAAUUUGACAUGACAAAUCUUUCGUGUACUAAAGCAUGGAAAAUGACUUUUUUCCUAUCUUUUCAUGUGUAUAAAUACAAUGAAUUAUUUUCUUUCAUUGUUUUGUCGAUGUUUUUUUAUUUUUUUCGGAUGUCUAAAUGUGCACAUCGAGAUGACAAUACAUAAGUUAAACAUAUUUGGGCGUGUCAUUGCCUCUACAUGUUUAUUUAUAGCAUCUCCUUACCAAGCCUAAACGUACCAUUUAUACAUAAUCUCUACCAAAACAAAGUCUUGACUUUACCUUCAAAGUAGCUGAACCAUAAAUCUAUCACCCAAUCCUAAUCCGAAUCCUAAUCCUAAUCCUAAUAAUAACAACUAACAAUUGUAUUCAUUCAGGUUAGUAAAAUUACAGGAAGAGAGAAAAUAUAAAUAGUUUUGGUCACUAAAACUUGUUGGUAAUGAUAUUCAAAUGGUUUUUAUUCGCUGUAGAAGUUACUCAUAUCUUUAACAACUGUUUCUAUGUAACUAUUUCGCCAUUAAAGGUUAAUUUUAUUUGGAUGAAAAACGUGGAUGAGAGAGGAAGGUAGGAGGAAACGGAUAUGGUUUACAUGGUUGGGAGGGAGAGAACGAAAAAAAGUAAAAUAAUUAUUUUGUAUGUAAUUUCCUAAGUUACCCAAAACUUUUGUUUUGGUUAUUUUUCUUUAGUUUUGUUGAUACAGUUAUAAUGACAUUUUAACCCUUGUUUAAUUAACAAAGAGGGUUCUAAUAUUUUUUGUUAUUACAUAAUUUGCUUA
rnacentral:lncRNA from 1 species